GGGGCUGUAGCUCAGCUGGGAGAGCGCUUCCUCGGCAAGGAAGAGGUCGGCGGUUCAAUCCCGCUCAGCUCCACCA
rnacentral:tRNA from 4 species